rnacentral:tRNA from 11 species
GCCCGGGUGGUCUAGUUGGUAUGAUUCUCGCUUCGGGUCAACCCUUAGCCCGAGCCUUCCUUAUAGAGGCUCACGUCUGCGAGAGGCCCCGCGUUCGAAUCGCGGCUCGGGCC